rnacentral:rRNA from 1 species
UACGUAGGUGGCAAGCGUUAUCCGGAAUUAUUGGGCGUAAAGCGCGCGCAGGCGGUUUCUUAAGUCUGAUGUGAAAGCCCACGGCUCAACCGUGGAGGGUCAUUGGAAACUGGGGAACUUGAGUGCAGAAGAGAAAAGCGGAAUUCCACGUGUAGCGGUGAAAUGCGUAGAGAUGUGGAGGGACACCAGUGGCGAAGGCGGCUUUUUGGUCUGUAACUGACGCUGAGGCGCGAAAGCGUGGGGAGCAAACAGG